CUACAUGGGGAACAAAUAUUUAAUACCGGGCUCUCCAGUCGUAGCAGAGAAAGGAAGCCAAACAAAAAAUGGUUUGGUGAGCACAUGAAUUGUUCUGAAGAGCAACAGCAGCCGUCCCGUAACUACCCUGCUUCAUGCUGACACACAAAGCAACUGCUUUCUUGUUAAGUAAAAACAAGUCAACAUUCACAGCAAAACCAUGAAAGAAAAACCACAAGUGACCUAACACUUCUGAGUCAUCCCCCCGCCUGGAGCUUCCUGAAAGAAUAAACAGACCUGAUUGGAACCCUCUGGCUUGUUCGUGCAAAAGUGAACCCAGUCACGAGGGAUCGGCUCCUGCCCAUCAAGAAGGCCUAUCACAACUAAACGGGACACUGUGUGACAUCACAAUACGAAGGACUUUGCUAAUUGCCCCCUUAUGCCAAUGAAGAGGCUACCUGCAGAAGGGCUCAUCCCAGCAGCCUGAAUUCUGAAAGAAGGAGCCGACGAGGAAGCUUUUCAUCUUUUGCUGUUUGGACUCUCGGAGGGCCGUAGCUACAGAACAGAAGCAGAGAUCCCCCAGGUCAACCUGGAUUAGCUCUAAAAGACAUUUAGAGCUAACAGAUUACUACAACUCUGUCACUUUU